CAGCAGCCGCGGGAAUACGAAGGGGGCUAGCGUUGCUCGGAAUGACUGGGCGUAAAGGGCGCGUAGGCGGUUUGCACAGUCGGGUGUGAAAUUCCUGGGCUUAACCUGGGGACUGCAUUCGAGACGUGUAGGCUUGAGUGGGGAAGAGGGUCGUGGAAUUCCCAGUGUAGAGGUGAAAUUCGUAGAUAUUGGGAAGAACACCGGUGGCGAAGGCGGCGACCUGGUCCUUGACUGACGCUGAGGCGCGAAAGCGUGGGGAGCAAACAGGAUUAGAUACCCGCGUAGUCCCUGUCUCUUAUAA
rnacentral:rRNA from 1 species